GCAGGGGUAGCCAAGCCAGGCCAACGGCGCAGGACUUAAGAUCCUGUGGUGGAGUCCUUCGUGGGUUCGAAUGCAUGUUUGGAUAUGCAAACAUGCCUGGAAAUCCCACCCCCUGCA
rnacentral:tRNA from 1 species